GAAAUACAUCAGCAACUGUAUCAGCAUGCUUUCAUUUGUACACAUUCUGAUCUGAACAUACGUGCUUUUCGAAGCACUUGGCAUGCAUCCUGAAGUCUCAAGUUGCUUGAGAUUACGUAAGCAGGCAAACUAUCAGAGGAAUAAUGAACUAACUAUUACAAGUGUUUUCAUGAUUGGCCUUGGGAAUGAUCCCAUUUAAGUUAUUGACUGUAUUUCAGAGUUCCUAUUGGUGUCUCAAACGGACCAGGAAGAAAAUUCUUUGCUUCCUCCCUUCCUAGAAAGAGCUCAUUCUCUCCCUCCACUACCCACAUAGACUGCACAUCCCUGUAAACUGGCAUUUGGUCACAAGUUUGUUAGAACAUGCAAGGAAGCUUUGGGUGGCUUGUGGAGCCUGGUGACACGAGGCACAGAGGUUAUGUAAAAUCUUCCAAAUGAAGCCUGGACUGUAAGGUUGUGUCUAGCUGCACUGGAUUUCUGCAGUCAGGAGGUGUUGCAGGUUUCAUAUGCCUUCAAGGGUCUUAGUACUGCAAUGCUGCAGUUUGGCUGGUGCUGGUAGUGCCCUGCUGUGUUGAACUUUUCUCCAGAACACUCGUAUCAACGUAUCAACAAUAUGCAUUUGCUUCUCCAGACAGAUUCAAACCAGCUACAGUAAUAGAGAACUUGUACUUCUGGAAGGAAAAAAAACCCAAGGCUUCAAAAGUGUUUGUUAAUUUAAUAGAACCUUUUCCCUUUAGCUUUAAAGGGAAAUUGCACGAUGUCAUUAGCUCUUUUUCUUUUUUUUUUCUUUUGGUAGUGAAAACCAAAACUAAAGUGAUUGGGGUUUCACACAUGCUGGAAAAACCACUAAAGGUGCAAACUUUUCAUGGUAUAUUUCUUUUACCUGAAGACAGUUAGACUUUCACAACUCAGAACUGGCCAUUUUCAGUGUGAAUCAUUUGUAAAUUAGUGGUUUUACAAUAUAUCCGAGAAAUAUAUAAACUGAAGUUUGACUUCUCGCAAACUCAAAAGGAGAUCAUUCAGCUAUGAGAAACAAAUCUGCUACAGGGACUCACUCAUCCACAUGCAGAUCGAAACCAGUGGAUUUUGUGUAUCAGUGGUAUAAACUCAUCAGGAUCUGCCAGGUAAUACUUAGCAGAAAUUUUUGAAAUCACUUAUUCAAAUUGUAAAAAGACAUCACACUAACAGAAAUGGAGGUUUUUAGAUGGACUGAAGCUCUAUUCUCAAGGCAUCAGCAGUAAUGUGGAAUGAAUUGUUCAUAUCUACAUGAUUAUGUUAAAGAAGACACAAUUCAUUUCUGGUCCCUUGCCACUAUCACCCUGCCUCAUAAAUUCUAUAUCCAUGUCUUGUAAAUGUCUUGCUUAAUGAAGCCCACUGGAAACUUGCAGUUCUUACGGG